rnacentral:rRNA from 1 species
UGGGGAAUAUUGCACAAUGGGCGAAAGCCUGAUGCAGCAACGCCGCGUGAGUGAUGAAGGCCUUCGGGUUGUAAAGCUCUGUCUUUUGGGACGAUAAUGACGGUACCAAAGGAGGAAGCCACGGCUAACUACGUGCCAGCAGCCGCGGUAAUACGUAGGUGGCAAGCGUUGUCCGGAUUUACUGGGCGUAAGGGAUGCGUAGGCGGAUUUUUUAAGUGAGAUGUGAAAACCCUAAGCUUAACUUGGGGACUGCAUUUCAUACUGGAAAUCUAGAGUGCGGGAGAGGAGAAUGGAAUUCCUAGUGUAGCGGUGAAAUCGUAGAGAUUAGGAAGAACACCAGUGGCGAAGGCGAUUCUCUGGACCGUAACUGACGCUGAGGCAUGAAAGCGUGGGUAGCAAACAGGAUUAGAUACCCUGGUAGUCCACGCCGUAAACGAUGAGUACUAGGUGUAGGAGGUAUCGACCCCUUCUGUGCCGCAGUUAACACAAUAAGUACUCCGCCUGGGAAGUACGAUCGCAAGAUUAAAAA